GACGAACGCUGGCGGCGUGCCUAACACAUGCAAGUCGAACGGAACUGUUUUGAAAGAUUUCUUCGGACUGCAUUUGAUUUAGUUUAGUGGCGGACGGGUGAGUAACGCGUGAGUAACCUGCCUUCAAGGGGGGAAUAACAUUCUGAAAAGAAUGCUAAUACCGCAUGACAUAUCGGAACCACAUGGUUUUGAUAUCAAAGAUUUUAUCGCUUGAAGAUGGACUCGCGUCCGAUUAGUUAGUUGGUGAGGUAACGGCUCACCAAGACCGCGAUCGGUAGCCGGACUGAGAGGUUGAACGGCCACAUGGGGACUGAGACACGGCCCAGACUCCUACGGGAGGCAGCAGUGGGGGAUAUUGCGCAAUGGGGGCAACCCUGACGCAGCAACGCCGCGUGAAGGAUGAAGGUUUUCGGAUUGUAAACUUCUUUUAUUAAGGACGAAAAAUGACGGUACUUAAUGAAUAAGCUCCGGCUAACUACGUG
rnacentral:rRNA from 1 species